UACGAAGGGGGCUAGCGUUGCUCGGAAUCACUGGGCGUAAAGCGCGCGUAGGCGGUUCGGUAAGUUGGGUGUGAAACCUCCAGGCUCAACCUGGAGACGCCACCCGAUACUGCUGUGACUAGAGUCCGGUAGGGGAGCGUGGAAUUCCUGGUGUAGCGGUGAAAUGCGCAGAUAUCAGGAGGAACACCAGCGGCGAAGGCGGCGCUCUGGGCCGGAACUGACGCUGAGGAGCGAAAGCGUGGGUAGCAAACAGG
rnacentral:rRNA from 1 species